GACGAACGCUGGCGGCGCGCUUAACACAUGCAAGUCGAACGAGAACCAGGGCUUCGGCCCUGGGGACAGCGGCGAACGGGUGAGUAACACGUGGGUAAUCCACCCUCGGCACCGGAAUAGCCCGGGGAAACCCGGAUUAAUGCCGGAUGGCCCGCCGGCCCUGCGGGGCUGGCGGAAAAGGUAGCUUCGGCCUCCGGCCGAGGACGAGCCCGCGACGGAUUAGCUUGUUGGUGGGGUAACGGCCUACCAAGGCUGCGAUCCGUAGCUGGCCUGAGAGGACGAUCAGCCACACUGGGACUGAGACACGGCCCAGACUCCUACGGGAGGCAGCAGUGGGGAAUCUUGCGCAAUGGGCGAAAGCCUGACGCAGCGACGCCGCGUGAGGGAAGAAGGCCUUCGGGUUGUAAACCUCUUUCAGGAGGGACGAAGCCACUCGGGUUAAUAGCCCAGAGGGUGACGGUACCUCCAGAAGAAGCCCCGGCUAACUACGUGCCAGCCGCCGCAGUAAUAC
rnacentral:rRNA from 1 species